rnacentral:rRNA from 1 species
GAUGAACGCUAGCUACAGGCUUAACACAUGCAAGUCGAGGGGAAACGACAUCGAAAGCUUGCUUUUGAUGGGCGUCGACCGGCGCACGGGUGAGUAACGCGUAUCCAACCUGCCCAUCACUUGGGAAUAACCUUGCGAAAGUAAGACUAAUACACAAUGCUAUCCCACGAAGGCAUCGGAAUGGGAUUACAGAUUUAUCGGUGAUGGAUGGGGAUGCGUCUGAUUAGCUGGUUGGCGGGGUAACGGCCCACCAAGGCAACGAUCAGUAGGGGUUCUGAGAGGAACGCCCUCCACAUUGGAAACGAGACACGGUCCAAACGCCGGCGGCAGGCAGCAGUGAUGGACAAUGGGCAAUGGGCGAGAGCAGCAACCAGCCGAGUAGCGUGAAGGAAGACGGCCCUAUGGGUUGUAUACUGCUUUUAUAAGGGAAUAAAGUGGGUCACGUGACGUUUUGCCUGUACCUUAUGAAUAAGGACCGGCUAAUUCCGUG